UUUGUCGGUUUCUCUCCCCUUUCUCUUUUUCUCCUUUUCUUUGUUUCUUUCUUUCUCUUUCUCUCACUUGGUCCUGUCAUUGGGGCGUCAUGGCGGGGCAAGAUGAGGUAAUGCCUGAGACGGGGAGAAAAGAC
rnacentral:ribozyme from 11 species